GGCCGCGUGGUGUAAUGGUUGCACACUCUCACAAUUGCUUCCUCAUAAUAUCAUUACUACUUUCUUUACCCUGCUGAGAGAGGAGCGGAGUUCGAUUCCCGCCGUGGCCA
rnacentral:tRNA from 1 species